UUAAGGGAUUUUGGGAUUUUAAGAUUUUAGGCUUGGGAAUUUAACCUAGGGUGCUCGGGGUUGAGUCUUUUACCAUAUUUGGUGAAGUUCAAUGUUUCGAGUACUAGAACUUGGCUUGGAAGCUUAUUUAAGGUUGUUAAUGGUGUCUUUCUUCAUGGUUGUGACUAGGUGUUAAGCUAGGGCUCGAGGAUCGGAUCGCGCUCAAGGAGUAUCGCCCGUAACUAACUCAUCUGAAAGCUAAAGGUAAAGGCAAGGGCAAGUUAGAUCAGCCCUGACUGGAGAGCUCGGCGAGCGGAAUGUACAUAGCCAGGUGCUCGGCCGCCACGGUUGAGGUCUA